rnacentral:rRNA from 1 species
UACAGAGGGUGCGAGCGUUAAUCGGAAUUACUGGGCGUAAAGCGCGCGUAGGCGGCUUUGCAAGCCGGAUGUGAAAUCCCCAGGCCUAACCUGGGAACUGCAUUCGGGACUGCAUGGCUAGAGUAUCGGAGAGGGAAGUGGAAUUCAGGUGUAGCGGUGAAAUGCGUAGAUAUCUGGAGGAAUACCGGUGGCGAAGGCGGCAUCCUGGACCGGCAUUGACGCUGAUGAGCGAAAAGCUAGGGGAGCAAACGGG